rnacentral:rRNA from 2 species
GGAGGGUGCGAGCGUUGUCCGGAAUCACUGGGCGUAAAGGGCGCGUAGGCGGCCUGAUAAGUAGGGGGUGAAAUCCUGCGGCUUAACCGCAGGGCUGCCUUCUAAACUGUCGGGCUCGAGCACAGUAGAGGCAGGUGGAAUUCCCGGUGUAGCGGUGGAAUGCGUAGAGAUCGGGAAGAACAUCAGUGGCGAAGGCGGCCUGCUGGGCUGUUGCUGACGCUGAGGCGCGACAGCGUGGGGAGCAAACAGGAUUAGAUACCCUGGUAGUCCACGCCGUAAACGAUGGGCACUAGGCGUCGGGGGGAGCGACCCUCCCGGUGCCGUCGCUAACGCAGUAAGUGCCCCGCCUGGGGAGUACGGCCGCAAGGCUG